GCAUAUCAAUAAGCGGAGGAAAAGAAACCAACAGGGAUUGCCCUAGUAACGGCGAGUGAAGCGGCAACAGCUCAAAUUUGAAAUCUGGCCUCGGCCCGAGUUGUAAUUUGCAGAGGAUGUUUCUGGCGCGGCGCCUUCUGAGUUCCCUGGAACGGGACGCCAUAGAGGGUGAGAGCCCCGUACGGUUGGACGCCUAGCCUGUGUGAAACUCCUUCGACGAGUCGAGUAGUUUGGGAAUGCUGCUCAAAAUGGGAGGUAUAUCUCUUCUAAAGCUAAAUAUUGGCCAGAGACCGAUAGCGCACAAGUAGAGUGAUCGAAAGAUGAAAAGCACCUUGAAAAGGGGGUUAAACAGCACGUGAAAUUGUUGAAAGGGAAGCGCCCAUGACCAGACUUGUGCCCGGCGGAUCACCCAGCGUUCUCGCUGGGGCACUCCGCCGGGUCCAGGCCAGCAUCGGUUUUCGCCGGGGGAUAAAGGCUCUGGGAACGUAGCUCCUCCGGGAGUGUUAUAGCCCUCUGCGUAAUACCCUGGCGGGGACCGAGGUACGCGCUCCGCAAGGAUGCUGGCGUAAUGGUCAUCAGCGACCCGUCUUGAAACACGGAUCAAGGAGUCGUCCAUUAGAGCGAGCGUUUGGGUGUCAAACCCGCACGCGUAAUGAAAGUGAACGUAGGUGAGAGCUUCGGCGCAUCAUCGACCGAUCCUGAUGUCCUCGGAUGGAUUUGAGUAUGAGUUUUACUGGACGGACCCGAAAGAUGGUGAACUAUGCCUGAAUAGGGUGAAGCCAGAGGAAACUCUGGUGGAGGCUCGCAGCGGUUCUGACGUGCAAAUCGAUCGUCAAAUUUGGGCAUGGGGGCGAAAGACUAAUCGAACCAUCUAGUAGCUGGUUACCGCCGA
rnacentral:rRNA from 1 species